GGAAGAAAUAUUAAAAACAUAAAUUUGUUUUCUUAUGUUCUGUUCUUCUGGAGUUAUUUAUAAUUUACUGGAUCUUCAGUGAUUUAAGAUAAUGUAUGUAUGAGCAAAGAUGUGUGUAGAGUUAACCCGACGUCAUUGACAUGAAUUAUACUGUGCGAUUACCAGGGUUAUAUAGAGCCGUUCCGUUAUCCCAACUCGUUCGUGAUAACUCGCGGAUCCCUUGCGCCCCACCGCGACGAUCCAGUACACGGUGUAGGCGGCCGGGGGGCCCGUGGAGAGUCGGUUAAAGAAGAACAAAGAAGAGCCAGCGUGCUUUAGUCACAGGUAGUGGAGGAAUAUUUACAUAUAUAUAUUAUAUACAUACUUAUGUAUAUAGAUUUAUAUGUAUAUAUGUACAAACAGAGAUCGCGGGUGCCAGGGAACGGUCAGUAACUGAGUGAGAAGUUUUAUGCCAAUAAAUACAUUAAAAAACACGCUUUGGUAUUUUCGACUUUUUUUUUUCUUCUUCAUCAAUUUAUUAGUUAGCUAAACCUUAGAAGUCAAUUUUGUCAAUUAUUUCUUCAUUUCAUUUUGUUAAAAUAUUAUUUUUGUUGUUACUUAUUUUUUUU